GUCUAUAGCCAUGCCACCUGAACAAGCCCAAUCCCAUCUGAUCUCGGAAGCUAGGGCCCGGUUAGUACUAGGAUGGGAGGCCACCUAGGAAGACUAGGUACUGUAGACG
rnacentral:rRNA from 1 species